CGGUGGAGCAUGUGGUUUAAUUCGAAGCAACGCGAAGAACCUUACCAGGCCUUGACAUGCAGAGAACUUUCCAGAGAUGGAUUGGUGCCUUCGGGAACUCUGACACAGGUGCUGCAUGGCUGUCGUCAGCUCGUGUCGUGAGAUGUUGGGUUAAGUCCCGCAACGAGCGCAACCCUUGUGUUUAGUUGCAAACAGGUCAAGCUGUGCACUCUAGACAGACUGCCGUGGACAACACGGAGGAAGGUGGGGAUGACGUCAAAUCAUCAUGCCCCUUAUGAUCUGGGCUACACACGUGCUACAAUGGCCGGUACAACGGGCAGCGAAGGAGCGAUCCGGAGCGAAUCCUAAAAAGCCGGUCCCAGUUCGGAUUGCAGGCUGAAACUCGCCUACAUGAAGUUGGAGUUGCUAGUAAUCGCGAAUCAGAAUGUCGCGGUGAAUGCGUUCCCGGGUCUU
rnacentral:rRNA from 1 species